rnacentral:sRNA from 1 species
UGCAUCUGGGGCCUGCGAGGAUGAGAACCUCCGGGGGCAGGAGGUUCGACUCGAGCGAAGCGAGAGAACGUUGCGUCAGCAACGGCCCGCAGGGCGAGCCACGA